rnacentral:rRNA from 1 species
AUGAACGCUAGCGACAGGCUUAACACAUGCAAGUCGAGGGGCAGCACAGGUAGCAAUACCGGGUGGCGACCGGCGCACGGGUGAGUAACGCGUAUGCAACUUGCCUAUCAGAGGGGGAUAACCCGGCGAAAGUCGGACUAAUACCGCAUGAAGCAGGGGCCCCGCAUGGGGAUAUUUGCUAAAGAUUCAUCGCUGAUAGAUAGGCAUGCGUUCCAUUAGGCAGUUGGCGGGGUAACGGCCCACCAAACCGACGAUGGAUAGGGGUUCUGAGAGGAAGGUCCCCCACAUUGGUACUGAGACACGGACCAAACUCCUACGGGAGGCAGCAGUGAGGAAUAUUGGUCAAUGGGCGUAAGCCUGAACCAGCCAAGUCGCGUGAGGGAUGAAGGUUCUAUGGAUCGUAAACCUCUUUUAUAAGGGAAUAAAGUGCGGGACGUGUCCCGUUUUGUAUGUACCUUAUGAAUAAGGAUCGGCUAACUCCGUGCCAGCAGCCGCGGUAAUACGGAGGAUCCGAGCGUUAUCCGGAUUUAUUGGGUUUAAAGGGUGCGUAGGCGGCCUUUUAAGUCAGCGGUGAAAGUCUGUGGCUCAACCAUAGAAUUGCCGUUGAAACUGGGGGGCUUGAGUAUGUUUGAGGCAGGCGGAAUGCGUGGUGUAGCGGUGAAAUGCAUAGAUAUCACGCAGAACCCCGAUUGCGAAGGCAGCCUGCCAAGCCAUUACUGACGCUGAUGCACGAAAGCGUGGGGAUCAAACAGGAUUAGAUACCCUGGUAGUCCACGCAGUAAACGAUGAUCACUAGCUGUUUGCGAUACACUGUAAGCGGCACAGCGAAAGCGUUAAGUGAUCCACCUGGGGAGUACGCCGGCAACGGUGAAACUCAAAGGAAUUGACGGGGGCCCGCACAAGCGGAGGAACAUGUGGUUUAAUUCGAUGAUACGCGAGGAACCUUACCCGGGUUUGAACGCAUUCGGACCGAGGUGGAAACACCUUUUCUAGCAAUAGCCGUUUGCGAGGUGCUGCAUGGUUGUCGUCAGCUCGUGCCGUGAGGUGUCGGCUUAAGUGCCAUAACGAGCGCAACCCUUGCCACUAGUUACUAACAGGUGAUGCUGAGGACUCUGGUGGGACUGCCAGCGUAAGCUGCGAGGAAGGCGGGGAUGACGUCAAAUCAGCACGGCCCUUACAUCCGGGGCGACACACGUGUUACAAUGGCGUGGACAAAGGGAGGCCACCUGGCGACAGGGAGCGAAUCCCCAAACCACGUCUCAGUUCGGAUCGGAGUCUGCAACCCGACUCCGUGAAGCUGGAUUCGCUAGUAAUCGCGCAUCAGCCAUGGCGCGGUGAAUACGUUCCCGGGCCUUGUACACACCGCCCGUCAAGCCAUGGGAGCCGGGGGUACCUGAGGUCCGUAACCGAAAGGAUCGGCCUAGGGUAAAACUGGUGACUGGGGCU